rnacentral:lncRNA from 1 species
GACACUCUUUAUUAUAUGGCUCACGAGCAAGAAUACAUCGGGGGUGACACGAAGCAAAACUCAAGACUAAAACACUAAGACUUUUAAACUACUAGAGAAAAAGAAAAUUGAAAAGGAAAACUAAAACAAAGGUAAAGGCAAAAAGAUGUGAUGGUGAUACGAUACCGGGGCAAAUUCCCCAAGCUUAGCACAAGCCAAGGGGAUUGCCCAUACCAAUGCUCCAGUUGUCUUCCUUUGCUGGUGAUGGUGAUGAAGUUGUUGCAACCUUUGAUUCCAAGAGG